rnacentral:tRNA from 1 species
AGGAUAAUAGUUAAUUAUAACAUUUGAUUUGCAUUCAAAAGGUGUUGAUUAUUCAACUUGUCUUA